ACACCUUUGAAACCUGAACAAAAUGGACCACACAAGUGGCUUAAAAAAGAGAAAAGCAAGUUCUGGCCAAGAAAGCACUACUAAAGAUGACUACAUCCACCAAAAGUAUGAACAUUUCUGCAGAGGGAAAAGGGGACUCAGCUAUGAUGGGUAACAGUCACUUUAGGCAUCAGCUAGACAGGGGAAUACCUGUGGUAUCUGCAUCACUGCAGAGAGAGAAGAGAUUACCUCCAAAGACCUUGGUAAGACCUGGCAUGCCAAUAGAGACUGAACCACAUUCUCUGACCUAGACAGGCUUUGCUUUCAGGAUAGUACCAGGCACACAGGGUCCCCACUCCAAGUUCCUAAAGACCAGCUGAGUCAGAGAUACUGUUGCUCUCAGGGUACAAGUCAAGGUCCAAAGGGCCUUCCAAAGCUGGAGUGGGCUAGCACUUCAGGCAAAGCAGCCACUGGCAGACAUCAUUUGAAGCUGGGUUUAGCUGUGCUGUCAGAGGAUUCAAGCAACAGUCUCUGCAGAAGAGCUCCAGAAUACAACAAAGCAUGUGCCCUGCACUAUGAGCGCAGAAGACGAUCCAGCUCUGGGUUUGAGCAACAAGACCUACAGACUAAGCCCCUGAUCCUAGGGUCUUGGAGCACCACACUGAGAAGGCAUGGAAGAGUGAGACAACGAAAGAAGACCCUUGGUAGACAUGACUAAAGACAAAAAGUCACUAAAUAUUGAAACAGGAAAA